rnacentral:rRNA from 1 species
GAUGAACGCUGGCGGCGUGCCUAAUACAUGCAAGUCGAGCGAAAAGACGAGGAGCUUUCUCCUCUGACGUUAGCGGCGGACGGGUGAGUAACUCGUGGUUAACAUACCUCUAAGACUGGGAUAAUAUCGGGAAACCGGAGCUACUACCGGAAAAUAUAUCGAACCGCAUGGGUCAAGAGUGGAAGUCGCUUUUGCUGUUACUUAUAGACGGAUACGCGCCGCAUUAGUUAGUUGGGAAGGUAGAGGCUUACCAAGGCGACGAAGCGUAGCCGACCUGAGAGGGUGAUCAGGCACACUGGAAGUGAGACACGUCCCAGACUCCUACAGGAGGCAGCAGUAGGGAAUCUUCCGCAAUGGGCGAAAGCCUGACAGAGCAACGCCGCGUGAGUGAUGAAGGUGUUCGGAUCGUAAAGCUCUGUUGUUAGGAGAGAAGAAAAGUGUAAGUAACUGUGCACAUCUUGACGGUACCUGAACAGAAAGCCACGGCUAACUACGUG